GACGAACGCUGGCGGCGUGCUUAACACAUGCAAGUCGAACGGAAAGGCCCUGCUUUUGUGGGGUGCUCGAGUGGCGAACGGGUGAGUAACACGUGAGUAACCUGCCCUUGACUUUGGGAUAACUUCAGGAAACUGGGGCUAAUACCGGAUAGGAGCUCCUGCUGCAUGGUGGGGGUUGGAAAGAUUCGGCGGUGGGGGAUGGACUCGCGGCUUAUCAGCUUGUUGGUGGGGUAGUGGCUUACCAAGGCUUUGACGGGUAGCCGGCCUGAGAGGGUGACCGGCCACAUUGGGACUGAGAUACGGCCCAGACUCCUACGGGAGGCAGCAGUGGGGAAUAUUGCACAAUGGGCGGAAGCCUGAUGCAGCAACGCCGCGUGCGGGAUGACGGCCUUCGGGUUGUAAACCGCUUUCGCCUGUGACGAAGCGUGAGUGACGGUAAUGGGUAAAGAAGCACCGGCUAACUACGUG
rnacentral:rRNA from 1 species